GGAGAUAAUAGGUAUUUUCCCACUACUGCUACCACACCAACCACACUACUGCCAAAUGCCUUACUAAAUCAUCACCCAAAUGAUAAAGGAAAUUUAUCCCACCUGAGGAGUAAUGCUGUUGGCGGUUUUUCAUAAUGAACAUUGCAGUGUGCUUCUUAGAAAAGAUUAAUAUCCUUUUUUAAUUUUUAUAAUUUCAUUGCAACACAUUUUUUUUUAUAGAGCAUGCAAGAUCCCCACGAACAUCCUUGAGCAAUUGAAUGCUGGAUUUUGUCCAUGACAGAAGAGGGCUUCCACCAACGUUCUGCUCCAUCCUUAUCUUCAAGACGUACGCUCCCUACGCUCACCCAGCUUCACUGCUUCAGUGCUUCUUUGUUGCUUCACUGGCGAGUUAGUUCACUUCAGUUGCUGUGACACACCUGCAGUCACUCACAACGGGAUUAUGGACAGGUAAUGCAGAGGAGACGUCGAGAAGAUGGACACUUAAACAUCUCCGUUAUCUCCAAAAUGUCAGCGCGGAUCAUCAUUUGUUGUUGGUAAUAUUUGUGUUUGUGUUAGUUAACCCGUUGUCUGCCACGCCUUUGUUCUCCCCUUGCUCCUUUGCACGGGCCGCGGGGUCGCGGGGUCGGAAUGUCGCCAAGCCCAAAAUUUGCCGCAAGGCAAGCCUAUUAGGCAAUGCACCAUAGUUCCCCCUUGUCGAUGCGGUGACUUGUCAGCAAUGACAAGCCCCACCUUGGUCAUGGAUCCUUCAGACAUGGCGCGUAGAGAGUAAAGAACAACCUACGGGUUGUAUGGCGUGGCAGCCAACAGGUUAACUGAAGUGUAUGUAUUGUAAAAGGUGGUGGAAUUGUGGCUGGAGUUGGGACAAUAAAGCA